rnacentral:lncRNA from 1 species
CAGGUAUCCAUCAGGAUUAACUUUGAAUCUUUUUUCUCGUGGUAGAUCAUUCUUCUUUAGGUAGGAUCUUUGCCUCUUUAAAUCUUGUCAGUAAUUGAUCUUGACUGUAACUUCAACCCUUGAACUGCAGUUUUUUCUCCUUGUUCCUUGCUAAAAAGAGACCCUUCUCAACUCAGGUGUGUGAAAGAUGGACGCCCAACCCUUGGGCAUGGGAAAGAGAAGAGGGAGAGAGGGUGAGGCAUG